rnacentral:rRNA from 1 species
AUCAAAAACAUCGCCUGUUGAAUAUAUAACAGGUACUUCCUGCCCGGUGAAAAAUUUUUUUAACGGCCGCGGUAUUUUGACCGUGCAAAGGUAGCAUAAUCAUUUGCCUUUUAAUUGAAGGCUCGUAUGAAAGGACACACAAGAAUAAAACUGUCUCAUUUGGACAACUAAAAACUAAUAUUAAGGUGAAGAAGCCUUGAUUAAUAUAAAGGACAAGAAGACCCUAUAGAGCUUCAUUAGUAAAAGUCAUUAUACUUAUAACUAAUUUGGUUGGGGCAACCAAAAGACAAACACACCUCUUUCAAUUAAAAUACACGCUUACCCGUACACGAACUAGAAUUAAGCUACCUUAGGGAUAACAGGCUAAUCCUACUAGAGAGACCACAUUGACAGUAGGGGUUGGCACCUCGAUGUUGGCUUAGUGUAACUAUUGGGCGCAGCCGCCCAAUAAAGUUGGUUUGUUCAACCAUUAAUUCACUACAUGAUCUGAGUUCAGAC